AGGUGGAGAGAGGCUGCCGCUGUGCCGGUGGAGAGGCUGACGCUGUGCCGGUGGAGAGGCUGACGCUGUGCAGGUGGAGAGAGGCUGACGCUGUGCAGGUGGAGAGAGGCUGACGCUGUGCAGCUGGAGAGAGGCUGACGCUGUACAGCUGGAGAGGCUGGGGCACACAGUCAUCAGGUCAGCUGCAAGCUCACAGCUGCUGCAUCUUUUCCCUGACAGCUCACUCCUGUGAGAGUCUUCCAGGCU
rnacentral:lncRNA from 1 species